AUUGAACGCUGGCGGAAUGCUUUACACAUGCAAGUCGAGCGGCAGCGCGGGGCAACCUGGCGGCGAGCGGCGAACGGGUGAGUAACAUAUCGGAACGUACCCAGUCGUGGGGGAUAACUAUCCGAAAGGAUAGCUAAUACCGCAUACGACCUGAGGGUGAAAGCGGGGGACCGAAAGGCCUCGCGCGAUUGGAGCGGCCGAUAUCGGAUUAGCUAGUUGGUGAGGUAAAGGCUCACCAAGGCGACGAUCCGUAGCUGGUCUGAGAGGACGACCAGCCACACUGGAACUGAGACACGGUCCAGACUCCUACGGGAGGCAGCAGUGGGGAAUUUUGGACAAUGGGGGGCAACCCUGAUCCAGCCAUUCCGCGUGAGUGAAGAAGGCCUUCGGUUGUAACCGCUUUAACCGGGAAGAAAAGGACGAUCUCUUAAUACGGGGUGUUC
rnacentral:rRNA from 1 species